rnacentral:rRNA from 1 species
CCUACGGGUGGCAGCAGUGAGGAAUAUUGGUCAAUGGACGAGAGUCUGAACCAGCCAAGUAGCGUGAAGGAUGACUGCCCUAUGGAUUGUAAACUUCUUUUAUAUGGGAAUAAAACGUUCCACGUGUGGUAUGUUGUAUGUACCAUAUGAAUAAGGAUCGGCUAACUCCGUGCCAGCAGCCGCGGUAAUACGGGGGAUCCGAGCGUUAUCCGGAUUUAUUGGGUUUAAAGGGAGCGUAGGUGGAUUGUUAAGUCAGUUGUGAAAGUUUGCGGCUCAACCGUAAAAUUGCAGUUGAAACUGGCAGUCUUGAGUACAGUAGAGGUGGGCGGAAUUCGUGGUGUAGCGGUGAAAUGCUUAGAUAUCACGAAGAACUCCGAUUGCGAAGGCAGUUCACUGGACUGCAACUGACAUUGAGGCUCGAAAGUGUGGGUAGCAAACAGGAUUAGAUACCCUAGUAGUC